AUUGAACGCUGGCGGCAGGCCUAACACAUGCAAGUCGAGCGGAGCGGCGGACGGGUGAGUAAUGCCUAGGAAUCUGCCUGGUUGUGGGGGAUAACGUCCGGAAACGGGCGCUAAUACCGCAUACUAUCAGAUGAGCCUAGGUCGGAUUAGCUAGGUGGGGGGGUAAAGGCCUACCAAGGCGACGAUCCGUAACUGGUCUGAGAGGACGAUCAGCCAAACUGGAACUGAGACCCGGUCCAGACUCCUACGGAAGGCAGCAUGGGGGAAUAUGGGCCAAGGGGCGAAAGCCUGAUCAAGCCAUGCCGCGUGUGUGAAGAAGGUCUUCGGAUUGUAAAGCACUUUAAGUUGGGAGGCGUUACCAACAGAAUAAGCACCGGCUAACUUCGUGCCAGCAGCCGCGGUAAUAC
rnacentral:rRNA from 1 species